rnacentral:rRNA from 1 species
AGAGUUUGAUCCUGGCUCAGGACGAACGCUGGCGGCGUGCCUAACACAUGCAAGUCGAACGGAAGUAUCAGCAAUGGUGCUUUAGUGGCGAACGGGUGAGUAACGCGUAGACAACCUGCCUCAAAGAUGGGGACAACACCGCGAAAGUGGUGCUAAUACCGAAUGUGUUAUCUUGGCUGCAUGGCUAAGAUAAGAAAGGUGGCCUCUUAGCAAUGCUACCGCUAUGAGAUGGGUCUGCGUCUGAUUAGCUAGUUGGUGAGGUAACGGCUCACCAAGGCGACGAUCAGUAGCCGGUCUGAGAGGAUGAACGGCCACACUGGGACUGAGACACGGCCCAGACUCCUACGGGAGGCAGCAGUGGGGAAUCUUCCACAAUGGACGAAAGUCUGAUGGAGCAACGCCGCGUGAGUGAAGAAGGUCUUCGGAUUGUAAAGCUCUGUCGAUCGGGACGAAUGUGCUUAUUGUGAAGAAUGAUAAGUAAUGACGGUACCGGAGGAGGAAGCCACGGCUAACUACGUGCCAGCAGCCGCGGUAAUACGUAGGUGGCGAGCGUUGUCCGGAAUCAUUGGGCGUAAAGAGCGCGUAGGCGGGAUUGUAAGUCUAUCUUAAAAGUGCGGGGCUCAACCUCGUGAUGGGAUAGAAACUAUAAUUCUUGAGUGCAGGAGAGGAAAGUGGAAUUCCCAGUGUAGUGGUGAAAUGCGUAGAUAUUGGGAGGAACACCAGUGGCGAAGGCGACUUUCUGGACUGUGUCUGACGCUGAGGCGCGAAAGCCAGGGAAGUGAACGGGAUUAGAUACCCCGGUAAUCCUGGCCGUAAACGAUGGGUACUAGGUGUAGAGGGUAUCGACCCCUUCUGUGCCGGAGUUAACGCAAUAAGUACCCCGCCUGGGGAGUACGGCCGCAAGGUUGAAACUCAAAUGAAUUGACGG